CCGUGCUAGACGGGGAGCUAGCGGUGCCUUGUAACCCGAAAUCCGCUUAUGCGGGGUCGAAAAGCCCCGGUGAGGAUUUCAAUCCGACAAGGAUCCGAAUCGAUCGGAUUCAGAGGUGGACCCCACGUGACAGGCGGUUAUGAACCCCGUCAGGUCCGGAAGGAAGCAGCGGUAAGUAAUUUAGCCUGUGUCGUGUUGCUCUCUACCUUUUCCCCUCGAGGAGGACUUGUCGGGAGUUGGAUUCGAACGGGGAUGCGCGG
rnacentral:SRP_RNA from 1 species